AUGGCUAGCGGCGGUUUGAAGAAGAUGCUAACCUUGGCAAUCGGCGAAGGAGUGUCUUCUGCACGAGCAACGAUAUUCGGCCAUCAAUUGAACCCUACCAGCAAGAAAUCUCCUCACAAGAUUCUCCGCAUGAAAAUGUUUGGUGAGAAAGUUGCUCAAUGGUACCCUCGUGAUAUCAACAAAGAUGAUCCUCUUGUUAUGGCUCGACAACAGCAAGAACGCUUAUCAAAGCUUGAAAUGUUGAAGCGUCGAGGUAAAGGGCCACCCAAGAAGGGACAGGGAAAGCGUGCUGCAAAACGCAACAAAUAA